UAGGGAAUCUUCCGCAAUGGUCGAAAGCCUGACGGAGCAACGCCGCGUGAGUGAUGAAGGUCUUCGGAUCGUAAAACUCUGUUAUUAGUGACGAACAAAUGUGUAAGUAACUAUGCACGUCUUGACGGUACCUAAUCAGAAAGCCACGGCUAACUACGUGCCAGCAGCCGCGGUAAUACGUAGGUGGCAAGCGUUAUCCGGAAUUAUUGGGCGUAAAGCGCGCGUAGGCGGUUUUUUAAGUCUGAUGUGAAAGCCCACGGCUCAACCGUGGAGGGUCAUUGGAAACUGGAUAACUUGAGUGCAGAAGAGGAAAGUGGAAUUCCAUGUGUAGCGGUGAAAUGCGCAGAGAUAUGGAGGAACACCAGUGGCGAAGGCGACUUUCUGGUCUGUAACUGACGCUGAUGUGCGAAAGCGUGGGGAUCAAACAGG
rnacentral:rRNA from 1 species